rnacentral:rRNA from 1 species
UACGUAGGGGGCGAGCGUUGUCCGGAGUUACUGGGCGUAAAGGGCAUGCAGGCGGUCGGACGCGUUUCGGGUGACAGCGGGUGGCUUAACUACCCGAGUGGUCGAAAGACGGUUUGACUUGAGGACGCGAGAGGGACACGGAAUUCCGGGUGGAGUGGUGAAAUGCGUAGAGAUCGGCGAGGAACACCGAUGGCGAAGGCAAUCCGUC